ACAGUUCCACUACCACCUUGGAACUUAAAAAACCGACCGAUGGCGGGAUAACGAUCCAACUGCUGGCUUUGAAAUACACAGGCCGAAGACGGGCAGCAGCGUCUUCGGUGCGACAAAGCCAGUACUGCGGUCACCAACCCGCCUGCCCAGCGUGGUGACUAUGGGCAAAACACAUGAGUUCACGUUAUUUUUGGCGUAAACUUAUGGAGGCCUAUGUCCAGCAGUGGACUGUAUAGGCUGUAAUGAUGAUAC
rnacentral:misc_RNA from 1 species